GAAGAGUAUGAAUUUGCCUCUUUCAAUGACAAGGCAGUACUAUCAUUGAAAGGAUCAAAUAGAGAAUAUGUUAAAACUCUUGAACUAGUGACAUCCAUUGAUCUUUCUUGCAAUCACUUGACAGGAGAGAUACCUCAAAGUAUAACAAAACUAGUGGCAUUAUUCGGCUUAAACCUUUCAGGAAAUAAUCUCACUGGAUUCAUUCCCAGCAGCAUUGGUCAUAUGGAAAGUUUGGAAUCACUUGACCUAUCAAAAAACCAUCUUUCUGGUAGAAUUCCAUCAAGCUUUUCAAAUCUGACAUUUCUUGGUUACAUGAACUUAUCUUUCAACAACUUAGAAGGGAGAAUUCCACUUGGUACUCAGUUACAAUCUUUUUAUCCUUCUUCAUAUAUGGGGAAUAAUGGACUUUGUGGCCCACCGCUCAUAAAUCAUUGUCCAGAACAUGUGAUUUCUUCAACUGGAAGCCAUGAAAAACAUGUCAAGAAUGAAGAUGAAGAUAAGUUCAUAACCUUUGGGUUUUAUGUUAGCUUGGGACUUGGUUUUAUAAUUGGGUUUUGGGGAGUUUGCGGAACUCUAGUGAUAAAAACAUCAUGGAGACAUGCAUAUUUCAAGUUCUUCAACAACAUCAAUGAUUGGAUUCAAAUCACAGUAGUCGUAUUUCUGAUCAAUAUGAAAAAUAGAUUCCAAGAUGAAGACUAACCGGGGUAAAGCUUCCAUUGAGAGAGUGAUAUAGCGCAUUAUCUUACUCAAUAUAUAUGUUCCAUAACAUUGUAUAAGUAUUAUAGAGUAAAGGAAGUCAACAUUUGUGUGUGUGUAUUGUUUAAAUCUUCAUGUAUGAUCCAAGUAUUAUGAAGUUGAAUAAUAUCUUUUUAUUAU